ACGGGUGAGUAACACGUAUCCAACCUGUCGUCUACUCUUGGACAGCCUUCUGAAAGGAAGAUUAAUACAAGAUGGCAUCAUGAGUCCACAUGUUCACAUGAUUAAAGGUAUUCCGGUAGACGAUGGGGAUGCGUUCCAUUAGAUAGUAGGCGGGGUAACGGCCCACCUAGUCUUCGAUGGAUAGGGGUUCUGAGAGGAAGGUCCCCCACAUUGGAACUGAGACACGGUCCAA
rnacentral:rRNA from 1 species